rnacentral:rRNA from 1 species
AUGGCCGCUGCUGCAUCAUCAUCCGCCCGCAUUCCUCUCAUCAUAGUUCUGGUGCUAGUACUAUCCGCCGUCCGGGCCUCUUCUUCUUCCUCGAGUUCGGCCAAUGGCACCGGCAGCGACGCAGACCUCGCUGCCCUGCUGGCUUUCAAAGCGCAGCUUUCCGACCCCGCCGGCAUCCUCGCCAACAGCUGGGUAGCCAACAGGUCCUUCUGCCACUGGGCCGGUGUCACCUGCAGCCGCCGUCGCCGGCGUGUUACAGCUCUGUCGUUGCCGGACACUUCCCUCCUCGGCUCCCUGGCGCCUCACGUAGGUAACCUUUCUUUCCUCUCCGUCCUCAACCUUACAAACACCGGCCUUAUCGGCUCCAUCCCACCUGAACUUGGCAGGCUACGCCGGCUUCGAUAUCUCUCUCUCUAUUGGAAUAGCCUUUCUAAUGAUAUUCCUCGUGUCCUUGGGAACCUUACAAGGCUCGAGUUCCUCCAUCUAGGUCACAACCAACUCUCAGGUCAGAUCCCUUGUGACCUACUGUUGUAUAUGCAGAAUCUUAGAAAAUUUACUUUACAAACAAAUUAUUUAAGUGGCCCAAUACCACCCUAUAUGUUCAACAACACACCUUCCUUGAGGUACAUCCGUCUUGGAAACAACAGCUUAUCGGGUCCUAUACCUAACAAUAUUGCCUCCCUCUCCAAACUUGAGUUGUUGACUCUGCAAGUCAAUCAACUCAGCGGCAUGGUUCCACAAGCCAUGUACAACAUGUCCAGGUUGCGAGUCAUGCUACUUCCAUCCAAUAAUCUAACUGGACAAAUUCCGGAUAAUCGAAGUUUCAGCCUACCAAUGUUGACAAAAAUUUCCCUCACUGCAAACAAAUUCUCCGGACGGUUUCCUUCGGGGCUUGCAUCAUGCCAGUACCUUGAAAUAUUGUCCCUGUCCACAAAUUGUUUUAUGGACGUUGUGCCAACAUGGUUAGCCAAAUUGCCGCAUCUCCAGCGGAUUUCCUUGGGUAGUAAUAACCUUGUUGGCUCAAUCCCAUCCGAGCUUAGCAAUCUCACUAACCUUCCUUUCCUGGAGCUCUCUAAUGCCAACCUGAAAGGGGAAAUCCCACCACAAGUAGGUCUAAUGCAAGAACUCUCCUAUUUAAAUUUUGAAAAGAAUCAACUAACAGGUACAAUUCCACCUUCCCUUGGCAACUUGUCCAAAUUGUCCUAUCUAUAUUUGGACACAAAUCACUUUUCCGGCCAAGUACCCACAACACUCGGGAGAAUUGCAACUUUGAAAAGGCUUCUUCUAUCUAAGAAUAAAUUAGAGGGGAAUACGGACUUCUUGCUUGCUCUCUCCAACUGCCGACAACUCCAGGACCUUGUAAUACCGAAUAAUUAUUUCACAGGCACCCUUCCAGACCAUAUGGGAAACCUCUCUACACAGUUAAUCACUUUUCGUGCAAGUUACAAUAAGUUAACCGGUGGAAUUCCAGCUACUCUCUCAAAUUUAAGCAGUCUGAAUUGGAUAGAUCUUUCCAACAACCUACUAACAAAGGAAAUGCCAUACUCCAUCACUACAAUGGAAAACCUUGUGUUACUCGAUAUCUCAAUGAAUGAAUUGUUAGGCACUAUCCCAAGUCAAAUUGGUAUGUUCAAGAGUCUUGAGCGAUUGUUUUUGCAGAAAAAUAAAUUCUUUGGCUCUAUACCAGAUAGCAUUGGCAACCUUAGCAGGCUACAAUACAUUGACAUGUCCAAUAACCAGUUCAUUUCUGCACUACCUACAAGUGUAUUCCACCUAGAUGAACUUAUCAGAUUAAAUCUUUCUCACAAUUCCUUUGGUGGUGCGCUUCCAGAUGAUGUUAGCAUGCUAAGCCAAAUCGAUCAAAUAGACCUUUCUUCCAACUUCUUGGAUGGGAAGAUUCCUGGAUCAAUCGGGAAAUUUAAAAUGCUAACCUACCUCAAUCUAUCAUGUAAUUUGUUUGAAGGCCCAAUUCCAAACCAACUUAAUAACCUAACUAGCUUAGAAUUAUUAGAUCUCUCCUCCAAUGAUCUUUCUGGCACCAUCCCCACUUUCUUUGCCAACUUUACAUACUUGAGUACCUUGAACCUCUCCUUCAAUAGGCUAGAUGGUCAGAUACCUGAGGGAGGUGUCUUCUUGAAUCUCACAUUGCAAUCUUUGAUUGGAAAUGUUGGGCUAUGCGGUGCUCCACGCAUAGGAUUUCCACCAUGCCUUGACAAAUCUCAUUCAAGUAACAAACACUUGUUGAAAUUUCAAAUCCUGAUUGUCAUUAUUACUUUUGGCGGUAUUGCAAUUUGCUUAUACCUAUGUAUCAAAAAAGAACUUAAGAAGCGAGAGGUCAAAGAUUAUGUCGAUCCAACCGAUGGCAUGUGCAAUAAGAUAGUCUCAUAUCAUGAGCUCCUUCGCGCCACCAACAAUUUCAGCGAAGAUAACAUACUUGGCUCUGGAAGCUUUGGAAAAGUAUUCAAGGGCCAAUUGAGCAGUGGUUUGGUGGUCGCGAUAAAAGUUCUGGACAUGCAACUGGACCAGGCCAUCCGAAGUUUUGAUGCGGAGUGUCGAGUUCUUCGCAUGGUGCGACACCGCAACCUGAUGCGAAUACUCAACACUUGUUCCAACCUCGACUUUAGAGCGCUUAUACUUCAGUACAUGCCAAAUGGCAGCUUAGAGACACUCAUACACCAGUCCCACAGUACAAUGCACUUGGGAUUCCUUGAGAGGUUGGGCAUCUUGCUUGACGUGUCGAUGGCGAUGGCGUAUCUGCAUCAUGAGCACCACGAGGUGAUCUUGCAUUGUGACCUGAAACCUAGCAACGUGUUGUUUGAUGAGGAUAUGACUGCGCAUGUUGCGGACUUUGGCAUUGCAAGGCUGCUUCAAGGUGAUGACAACUCCAUGACAUAUGCGAGCAUGCCCGGAACAGUUGGGUAUAUGGCACCAGAGUAUGGGUCUCUUGGAAAAGCAUCGCGGAAGAGCGACAUAUUCAGCUUUGGAAUCAUGCUCCUCGAAGUCUUCACGGGAAGGAGGCCGACAGAUGCCAUGUUCGUCGGGGAACUGAGCCUUCGGCGGUGGGUUUGUCAGGCAUUCCCCUCGGAGCUUGUGCAUGUCGUCGAUGAGCGGCUACUACAGGGCCCGUCUUCUAGCUGCAACUUGGCCGAUGGCUUUCUUGUGCCAGUACUGGAGCUGGGUCUUCUCUGCUCCUCCGACUUACCUGACCAGAGAACGACGACGAUGAGCGAUGUGGUCGUGAGACUAAAGAAGAUCAAAGUGGAGUAUAUCAAAUCGACACCAGCGAUGCCGGGGAGCGCAGCACAGUGA